AUGAGGCUCCAGAGUGCGUUGGGGACAGGGCAGGGCCUGGAGGGACAGCAGGACUCGCUGUUCUGGGCAAGGGCUCACUUGCGUCCUUUCUGGCCUGCAGUCUCCGUGAGCAUCAACAACCUGUACCCGGGCUGCGAGAACGUGAGCGUGAGGAGCCGCAGCAUGAUGUUCGAGCCGGGCCUCACCAAAGGGAUGCUGGAGGUGUUCAUGGCCCCGUCCCACCACCCGCACUGCUCGGCCGAUGACCAGUCCACCAAGGCCAUCGACAUCCAGAACGCCUAUUUGAACGGAGUUGGCGAUUUCAGCGUGUGGGAGUUCUCUGGAAAUCCUGUGUACUUCUGCUGUUAUGACUAUUUCGCUGCAAAUGAUCCCACGUCAAUCCAUGUCAUUGUUUUUAGUCUAGAAGAGCCCUAUGAGAUCCAGCUGAACCAAGUGAUUUUCUGGCUCAGUUUCCUGAAGUCCCUCGUCCCAGUCGAAGAACCCAUAGCCUUUGGUGGGAAGCUGAAGAACCCACUCCGAGUUGUCCUGGUGGCUACCCAUGCUGACAUCAUGAACGUUCCUCGCCCAGCUGGAGGCGAGUUUGGAUAUGACAAAGAUACAUCGUUGCUGAAAGAGAUCAGGAACAGUGCGCAUAGGCCGCGGGCGUUCGUACCCCUCUGCUGCCAGCUGGCAAUCCGCGCUGGGGGCGGCAGAGCAGCCCCCCACCGAUCGGGGCUGCUGGGGCCGGCGAGUGCCGCUCUGGAUAUAAAGGGGGACAGGGGGCAUGUCUUCAACGCCGCGGUCAGGGUCAGGGUCUGCCCUCCCAUGACUCAGCUGUGUGAGAGAAUCAUCUCCACGCUGCCUUCCUGGAGGAAGCUCAAUGGGCCCAACCAGCUGAUGUCGCUGCAGCAGUUCGUGUACGACGUGCAGGACCAGCUGAACCCCCUGGCCAGCGAGGAGGACCUCAGGCGCGUGGCUCAGCAGCUGCACAGCACAGGCGAGAUCAACAUCAUGCAGAGCGAAACGGUGCAGGACGUGCUGCUCCUGGACCCCCGCUGGCUGUGCACCUGCGUCCUGGGGAAGCUGCUGUCCGUGGAGACGCCGCGGGCCCUGCACCACUACCGGGGCCGCUACACCGUGGAGGACAUCCAGCGCCUGGUGCCCGACAGCGACGUGGAGGAGCUGCUGCAGAUCCUCGACGCCAUGGACAUCUGCGCCCGCGACCUGAGCAGCGGGACCAUGGUGGACGUGCCCGCCCUGAUCAAGACGGACAACCUGCACCGCUCCUGGGCGGACGAGGAGGACGAGGCGAUGGUGUACGGCGGCGUGCGCGUGGUCCCGGUGGAGCCUCACGCCUUCCCGUGCGGAAUCUUUCACAAGGUGCAGGUGAACCUGUGCCGCUGGGUGCACCAGCAGGGCACGGAGGCGACGCGGACAUCCGCCUGUGGGUGAACGGCUCAAGAUUGCCACCGCGGCGCGAGCUGCUGGUGCUGCUGGUGAACCACGGCAGGGCGUGGAGGUGCAGGUGCGCGGUCUGGAGACGGACAAGGUCAAGUGCUGCCUCCUGCUGGACUCGGUGUGCAGCACCAUCGAGAACGUCAUGGCCAGCACGCUGCCGGGCUCCUGACCGUCAAGCCUACCUGAGCCCCAGCGCUGCGGGAGCACCACGAGCCGUCAUGAUCUACCAGCCCGCGGACUUUUUCGGGCGCAGGCGCUGAAGGAGACCUCCCUGACGAACCCAUGGGCGGCUACAAGGAGAGCUUCAGCAGCAUCAUGUGCUUCGGCUGUCACGACGUCUACCAGCGCAGCAUCGGCAUGGACAUCCCGCGUCAGACCUGAACCUCCUCACCCGGAGGAAGCUCAGCCGCCUGCUGGACCCGCCCGCCCAUGGGAAGGACUGUGUGCUUCUCAGCCAUGAACUUGGGCUCCCCGACCUGGUGGCAAAGUACAACACCACAACGGGCCCCCCCAAGGACUUCUCCCCAGCCGGUCCACGCCCUGCUGCGGGAAUGGACUCCUACCCCGGAGCACGGUGGGAUCCUCAUGUCCAAACUGAGGGAGCUGGGGUCGCCGGGAUGCAGCAAGACUUCCUGCUGAAGGCAUCCUCCGUGUCUCAACUCGAUGGCAAUCGGCCGGCAGGCCUAUGCGUCAAGCUGCCAGCUGGCGACUCCUAAAUCCAUCAUUUACUCGGUCGUGUCGCCGUGCAGCGCAGCUUCUGGCUUGGGCAGGGCUCUCUUUGGACUGCAGAAGCAAGGGGGUGUGACCAUCUUCCGCAUGGUCUUCCCAGCUUCACGAGCCACCAGCCUCCUUUAA